GAUGAACGCUGGCGGCGUGCCUAAUACAUGCAAGUCGAGCGAACAGACGAGGAGCUUGCUCCUCUGACGUUAGCGGCGGACGGGUGAGUAACACGUGGAUAACCUACCUAUAAGACUGGGAUAACUUCGGGAAACCGGAGCUAAUACCGGAUAAUAUAUUGAACCGCAUGGUUCAAUAGUGAAAGACGGUUUUGCUGUCACUUAUAGAUGGAUCCGCGCCGCAUUAGCUAGUUGGUAAGGUAACGGCUUACCAAGGCAACGAUGCGUAGCCGACCUGAGAGGGUGAUCGGCCACACUGGAACUGAGACACGGUCCAGACUCCUACGGGAGGCAGCAGUAGGGAAUCUUCCGCAAUGGGCGAAAGCUUGACGGAGCAACGCCGCGUGAGUGAUGAAGGUCGUCGGAUCGUAAAACUCUGUUAUUAGGGAAGAACAAAUGUGUAAGUAACUAUGCACGUCUUGACGGUACCUAAUCAGAAAGCCACGGCUAACUACGUG
rnacentral:rRNA from 1 species